AGAGAGAUGGCUGAGUGGUUGAAAGCGGCGGUCUUGAAAACCGUUGAUGCUUCGGUAUCCGGGGGUUCGAAUCCCUCUCUCUCUG
rnacentral:tRNA from 2 species